GUAACACGUAGUCAACAUGCCCAGGGGACGUGGAUAACCUCGGGAAACUGAGGAUAAACCGCGAUAGGUCAUCACUUCUGGAAUGGGUAAUGACUUAAAUCUAUAUGGCCCCUGGAUUGGACUGCGGCCGAUCAGGCUGUUGGUGAGGUAAUGGCCCACCAAACCUGUAACCGGUACGGGCUCUGAGAGGAGGAGCCCGGAGAUGGGCACUGAGACAAGGGCCCAGGCCCUAUGGGGCGCAGCAGGCGCGAAACCUCUGCAAUAGGCGAAAGCUUGACAGGGUUACUCUGAGUGAUUUCCGUUAAGGAGAUCUUUUGGCACCUCUAAAAAUGGUGCAGAAUAAGGGGUGGGCAAGUCUGGUGUCAGCCGCCGCGGUAAUACCAGCACCCCGAGUGGUCGGGACGUUUAUUGGGCCUAAAGCAUCCGUAGCCGGUUCUACAAGUCUUCCGUUAAAUCCACCUGCUUAACAGAUGGGCUGCGGAAGAUACUAUAGAGCUAGGAGGCGGGAGAGGCAAGCGGUACUCGAUGGGUAGGGGUAAAAUCCGUUGAUCCAUUGAAGACCACCAGUGGCGAAGGCGGCUUGCCAGAACGCGCUCGACGGUGAGGGAUGAAAGCUGGGGGAGCAAACCGGAUUAGAUACCCGGGUAGUCCCAGCUGUAAACGAUGCAGACUCGGUGAUGAGUUGGCUUAUUGCUAACUCAGUGCCGC
rnacentral:rRNA from 1 species